GCACCAACUCUUACGCGCAUUCGUGA
rnacentral:misc_RNA from 1 species